UACGAAGGGUGCAAGCGUUAAUCGGAAUUACUGGGCGUAAAGCGCGCGUAGGCGGUUUGUUAAGUUGAAGGUGAAAUCCCCGGGCUCAACCUGGGAACUGCCUCCAAAACUGGCUGACUAGAGUGUGGUAGAGGGUGGUGGAAUUUCCUGUGUAGCGGUGAAAUGCGUAGAUAUAGGAAGGAACACCAGUGGCGAAGGCGACCACCUGGACCAACACUGACGCUGAGGUGCGAAAGCGUGGGGAGCAAAC
rnacentral:rRNA from 1 species